rnacentral:tRNA from 1 species
CGGUCCCGGCCGUCGCUGGUGCGCCGCCGGUUGAGUUCCGGCGCGACCGUUCCGGGCCGUUCGACCCGGCCCGGACCGC